UGGGGAAUAUUGCACAAUGGAGGAAACUCUGAUGCAGCGACGCCGCGUGAGUGAAGAAGGUCUUCGGAUCGUAAAACUCUGUCCUUGGUGACGAAAAAAAUGACGGUAGCCAAGGAGGAAGCCCCGGCUAACUACGUGCCAGCAGCCGCGGUAAUACGUAGGGGGCGAGCGUUGUCCGGAUUUACUGGGCGUAAAGGGUGAGUAGGCGGUAAUAUGUGUCAGAUGUAAAAGGCUAUGGCUUAACCAUAGUUAGCAUUUGAAACUGUAUUACUUGAGUGCAGGAGAGGUAAGUGGAAUUCCUAGUGUAGCGGUGAAAUGCGUAGAUAUUAGGAGGAACACCAGUGGCGAAGGCGACUUACUGGACUGUAACUGACGCUGAGUCACGAAAGCGUGGGUAGCAAA
rnacentral:rRNA from 1 species